CGCGUAGGCGGUUUGUUAAGUCAGAUGUGAAAGCCCUGGGCUCAACCUGGGAACUGCAUUUGAUACUGGCAAACUGGAGUAUGGUAGAGGAAAGUGGAAUUUCGGGUGUAGCGGUGAAAUGCGUAGAUAUCCGAAGGAACAUCAGUGGCGAAGGCGACUUUCUGGACCAAUACUGACGCUGAGGUGCGAAAGCGUGGGGAGCAAACAGGAUUAGAUACCCUGUAGUCC
rnacentral:rRNA from 1 species